rnacentral:lncRNA from 1 species
UCGACAGCUAACAGGAUCGAUCACAUGCAAGAUUUAAGAUGCUGAAAUUAAAAUUAGAUUUACAUCAAAAUACAAGACCAGAGAUCUGAUCUCCAUACCUUCGUGUGGGUCAAUGAUCUCCGCUGCUGAUGAUCAUGGUGAUCCAAUGAAGUUCUCAUUGAGCCACACAUAUAUCCGACCUCUACGGAUAUCCACAUGAGGCCCU